rnacentral:rRNA from 1 species
UCGGGUGCUGACGAGCGGCGGACGGGUGAGUAAUGCUUGGGAACUUGCCUUUCGGAGGGGGAUAACCAUUGGAAACGAUGGCUAAUACCGCAUAACGUCUACGGACCAAAGUGGGGGAUCUUCGGACCUCACACCGAGAGAUAGGCCCAAGUGAGAUUAGCUAGUUGGUGGGGUAAAGGCUCACCAAGGCAACGACGGGUAGCUGGUCUGAGAGGAUGGUCAGCCACACUGGGACUGAGACACGGCCCAGACUCC